AUACGGAGGGUGCGAGCGUUAAUCGGAAUUACUGGGCGUAAAGCGUGCGUAGGCGGAUUAUUAAGCAAGAUGUGAAAGCCCAGGGCUCAACCUUGGAACUGCAUUUUGAACUGGUAGUCUAGAGUACUGUAGAGGGUGGUGGAAUUUCCAGUGUAGCGGUGAAAUGCGUAGAGAUUGGAAGGAACAUCAGUGGCGAAGGCGGCCACCUGGACAGAUACUGACGCUGAGGCACGAAAGCGUGGGGAGCGAACAGGAUUAGAAACCCUUGUAGUCC
rnacentral:rRNA from 1 species